rnacentral:pre_miRNA from 1 species
CCAUUGGCACAUUGAACCGGUUAGCCACUUUUUUUAAAUUAUGUGAAUUAUGUUUCACAUAAUUUAAAAAAAGUGGCUAACCGGUUCAAUGUGCCAAUGGU